UACGUAGGUGGCGAGCGUUGUCCGGAUUUACUGGGCGUAAAGAGCGCGCAGGCGGCUGGUCAAGUCCGAUGUGAAAGCUCCCGGCUUAACUGGGAAAUUGCAUCGGAAACUGAUCGGCUGGAAGGUGGGAGAGGGUAGCGGAAUUCCCGGUGUAGUGGUGAAAUGCGUAGAUAUCUGGAGGAACACCGGUGGCGAAGGCGGCAUUCUGGACCGAUAUUGACGCUGAGGAGCGAAAGCCAGGGGAGCAAACGGG
rnacentral:rRNA from 1 species